rnacentral:antisense_RNA from 1 species
CCGUGGGAGGGAAGGCAUUCUCUGUCAAGCUGCUGUCACCUUACCUGAAGUAAGGAGUCCACGCCUGCAUGUCCGAGGAAAACAGUUUUCUCAAACACAUUAGUUGAAAAACUGAAGACACUGCCUAAAAUACAAGCUGAGUUAGAGACAGCCCUUGUAAGACUAGAACACAUAAAAGCACUGUGGAAGUGGCAACAGGGAAGGUGAGAAGAGGAUUAUCAAAGACAUUGUGAUGAUAGAAUGGACAGGACUUGGUGAACAGAGUUGAUGCAGGCAGAAUCAUGAUAUUGUGUGAUUAAAGCCAUCUUGUGUCAUUUAAGGCCUUGAGCCUACUUGCCUUCAGAUUGGAACUUUACCAUCUGCUCUCCUGGUUCUCAGGCCUUCAGGGAAGACUAGAACUAUGCCACUGACUCUCCUGGUCUCCAGUUUUUC